rnacentral:rRNA from 1 species
GAUGAACGCUGGCGGCGUGCCUAAUACAUGCAAGUCGAGCGAACAGACGAGGAGCUUGCUCCUCUGACGUUAGCGGCGGACGGGUGAGUAACACGUGGAUAACCUACCUAUAAGACUGGGAUAACUUCGGGAAACCGGAGCUAAUACCGGAUAAUAUAUUGAACCGCAUGGUUCAAUAGUGAAAGACGGUUUUGCUGUCACUUAUAGAUGGAUCCGCGCCGCAUUAGCUAGUUGGUAAGGUAACGGCUUACCAAGGCGACGAUGCGUAGCCGACCUGAGAAGGUGAUCGGCCACACUGGAACUGAGACACGGUCCAGACUCCUACGGGAGGCAGCAGUAGGGAAUCUUCCGCAAAGGGCGAAAGCCUGACGGAGCAACGCCGCGUGAGUGAUGAAGGUCUUCGGAUCGUAAAACUCUGUUAUUAGGGAAGAACAAAUGUGUAAGUAACUAUGCACGUCUUGACGGUACCUAAUCAGAAAGCCACGGCUAACUACGUG